CGCAGGCGGAUGUAUAAGUUCUGUGUGAAAAGCAGCUGCUCAACAGCUGUUGGCGCCGAAUACUAUACAUCUAGAAUACGGUAGGAAGUUUUGGAAUUGAAUAUGGAGCGGUGGAAUGUGUAGAUAUAUUCAAGAACACCAGAGGCGAAGGCGAAAACUUAGGCCGAUAUUGACGCUUAGGCUUGAAAGUGUGGGGAGCAAAUGGGAUUAGAUACCCCAGUAGUCCACACCGUAAACGAUGGGUAUUAAAUUUUGGGGUUAGUGCCUCAGGGUUGUAGCUUACGUGUUAAAUACCCCGCCUGGGUAGUACAUAUGCAAAUAUGAAACUCAAAGGAAUUGACGGGGACCUGAACAAGUGGUGGAACAUGUUGCUUAAUUCGAUAAUACACGAAAAACCUUACCAAGAUUUGACAUCCCUCGCGAAGCUUUAGAGAUAAAGUCAGAGGUUAUCGAGGUGACAGGUGGUGCAUGGUUGUCGUCAGCUCGUGUCAUGAGAUGUUGGGUUAAGUCCCGCAACGAGCGCAACCCUACUCUCUAGUUGUCUGUUUAGAGAGACUGAACAGUAAUGUAUAGGAAGGUCGGGA
rnacentral:rRNA from 1 species